rnacentral:rRNA from 1 species
ACGCUCGACACCUACGAGGCAGCAGUGGGGAAUAUUGCACAAUGGGGGAAACCCUGAUGCAGCGACGCCGCGUGAGCGAAGAAGUAUUUCGGUAUGUAAAGCUCUAUCAGCAGGGAAGAAAAUGACGGUACCUGACUAAGAAGCCCCGGCUAACUACGUGCUAGCAGGCCGGACGGUAAUCGUGAGGCGGGCGUGGACGAAGGC